rnacentral:piRNA from 1 species
CUCGAAGCUGCACUCAGGCUGCUGACC